rnacentral:rRNA from 1 species
GAUGAACGCUGACAGAAUGCUUAACACAUGCAAGUCAACUUGAACUUCGGUUUGGGUGGCGGACGGGUGAGUAACGCGUAAAGAACUUGCCUCACAGUUAGGGACAACAUUUGGAAACGAAUGCUAAUACCUGAUAUUAUGAUUUUAGGGCAUCCUAGAAUUAUGAAAGCUAUAUGCGCUGUGAGAGAGCUUUGCGUCCCAUUAGCUAGUUGGAGAGGUAACGGCUCACCAAGGCGAUGAUGGGUAGCCGGCCUGAGAGGGUGAACGGCCACAAGGGGACGGAGACACGGCCCUUACGCCUACGGGAGGCAGCAGUGGGGAAUAUUGGACAAUGGACCAAGAGUCUGAUCCAGCAAUUCUGUGUGCACGAUGAAGUUUUUCGGAAUGUAAAGUGCUUUCAGUUGGGAAGAAAAAAAUGACGAUACCAACAGAAGAAGAGACGGCUAAAUACGUG